rnacentral:rRNA from 1 species
GUCGUACAGGUCCCCGUAGGUGAGCCUGCGGAGGGAUCAUUACAAGAACGCCCGGGCUUCGGCCUGGUUAUUCAUAACCCUUUGUUGUCCGACUCUGUUGCCUCCGGGGCGACCCUGCCUUCGGGCGGGGGCUCCGGGUGGACACUUCAAACUCUUGCGUAACUUUGCAGUCUGAGUAAACUUAAUUAAUAAAUUAAAACUUUUAACAACGGAUCUCUUGGUUCUGGCAUCGAUGAAGAACGCAGCGAAAUGCGAUAAGUAAUGUGAAUUGCAGAAUUCAGUGAAUCAUCGAAUCUUUGAACGCACAUUGCGCCCCCUGGUAUUCCGGGGGGCAUGCCUGUUCGAGCGUCAUUUCACCACUCAAGCCUCGCUUGGUAUUGGGCAACGCGGUCCGCCGCGUGCCUCAAAUCGUCCGGCUGGGUCUUCUGUCCCCUAAGCGUUGUGGAAACUAUUCGCUAAAGGGUGUUCGGGAGGCUACGCCGUAAAACAACCCCAUUUCUAAGGUUGACCUCGGAUCAGGUAGGGAUACCCGCUGAACUUAAGCA